rnacentral:lncRNA from 1 species
CAAACCCUUACCUUCCAUCUUAGAAUUGAUACUAUGUAUUGGUUCUAAGUCAGAAGAGUGGUAAGGGCUAGGCAGUGGGGGUCAAGUGACUUGCCCAGGGUCACAUAGCUAGGAAGUGUCUGAGGCCAGAUUUGAACCCAGGACCUCCUGUCUCCAGGCCUGACUCUCAACCCACUGAGAUAUCCAGCUGCCCCCUUGUCCUUUGUUUUCAGAGGACCAAUGAUAUCACUGGUUGAUGUCUUGACUGGCACAUGAAUUGGAUUAACUGAGGGAGGGAUGCACAAAGUUGUCACCUCACUCUUCCAGAAUCAUUGAAGUCCAGUAGUAAGAUAAAAGGUAGAGCAAUUGGUGAUGGCUCAUGAUGCAGUGGAUGACCUUGGUGUCUUCAAUGUCUGACCAAGUCCUAAGCCUUCCACAGUGUUAGCUUCAGCCACCUUCAUGGCUAAAGGAACAACUUAUUCUCUUCCUCUGUUUUUGAGGGAGGAAGUCUUCACAUGCCUGCAGCAGAUGUUCUCUAAUUCACAAAUGACUAUGAAGACUAUAAGACUUACUCUUAAUCUGGUUUAGCCUGCCUACAUGAUUUCGCUGGGGUGUGGCCAUUGCACAUGCUAGAGUUUCUUGGAGCCACAGGUGUGUAAAGUGCCUGGGAAGGAGGAGAGGAAGGGGAGAGACAAGGCCUCUAGUCAGUCUGCAUCACUGAGCUGAGGCAAAGCCCACUGUAGAGCCGCCAUUUUUACAACAACCUACCUGGACCAGCUUCCACAGAGCCCCUGCUCUCUCUUACUAUUAGAGAUGAGUGAAAGCCUUGCCUAGGGGCAAGGAUGAGGGACAGUUCAAAUGAAGAUCUAGAAGGAGAUCCUCAAACCUCUCCAUUCCAGAAAACUAUCUGCUUUAGGAUUAGACAUUCCCAGGAGUUUCUCUGGCUUAACCUGGAGAUGAAGUUGAGCCAGAACAAAGGCAGACUAUGGGCUAAGGAGGCAAAUUCUCUGUCUCCCUUUACAAACUUCAAUAAUGCAUAUCUCUAAGGAAUUGCUUUGAUGCUGUAUUUUGAAAACUAGUGGGAAAAAUCUCACCAUUUCCUUGUGAAUAUAGUAAAUAUGGCUGUGUUGAAUGGUAAAUAACGUGUGUGGCCUUCUUUUCUGUGUCAAGCAUUGUCUCCCCAUAGGAGGUUCACUUUGGGGAACCCUGACCUUGGAGAAAGUUAAUCAAGGUUAGUCCCUGGGACCUUCAAUCUAAUCUUUUAGUGGCAUUGCAUCUUCCAUUAGGUACUGGAGUUAUGGAUCCUUGGCUUUUGUCAAAAAAUGAAAGGGUAAUGAAUAGGACUUAUCCAAGCCAGAUGAGAGUGUUAUCCAUUAUUGGAUUAAUCCCCAAGACUCCAUUCACAUUCCUAAAGGUAGAACAUAUCUGGGGGAAAAACACAACAGGUGCAAACAGGCGAUCUCACUAAUUAUCACCAUCUGGAUAAAUAAAUGUAUUUCUUGAAAAAAAUGUGACA